rnacentral:lncRNA from 1 species
CCCAAACAUUAUAGGAUUCCAUGGUUCUACAAUCCCUUCCAGCCCAACCACUGUAGGAUCCCACGGUUCCAUGAUCCUAAAGGUCUCUCCAACCCAACCACUGUAGGAUCACAUGGUUCCGUGAUCCUAAAGGUCUCUCCAACCCAACCACUGUAGGAUCACAUGGUUCCGUGAUCCUAAAGAUCUCUCCAACCCAACCGUUGUAGUAUCUCACAGUUCUAUGAUCCUAAAGGUCUCUCCAACCCAUCCGUUGUAGGAUCCCACGGUUCCAUGAUCCUAAAUGUCUCUCCCACCCCAACCAUUAUAGGAUUCCAUGGUUCUACGAUCCCUUCCAACCCAACUGUUGUAGGAUCCCACUGUUCCAUGAUCCUAAAGAUCUCCAGCUCUGCCUUGAAGGGGAUGAGG